AUUGAACGCUGGCGGCAGGCCUAACACAUGCAAGUCGAGCGAGUGGCGGACGGGUGAGUAAUGUCUGGGAAACUGCCUGAUGGAGGGGGAUAACUACUGGAAACGGUAGCUAAUACCGCAUACCAUCGGAUGUACCCAGAUGGGAUUAGCUAGUAGGUGGGGUAAAGGCUCACCUAGGCGACGAUCCCUAGCUGGUCUGAGAGGAUGAUCAGCCACACUGGGACUGAGACACGGUCCAGACUCCUACGGUGGGCAGCAGUGGGGAAUAUUGCACAAUGGGCGCAAGCCUGAUGCAGCCAUGCCGCGGGUAUGAAGAAGGCCCUAGGGUUGUAAAGUACUUUCAGGCGGGAGGCGUUACCCACAGAAGAAGCACCGGCUAACUCCGUGCCAGCAGCCGCGGUAAUUC
rnacentral:rRNA from 1 species